rnacentral:misc_RNA from 1 species
UACGGAGGAUCCAAGCGUUAUCCGGAUUUAUUGGGUUUAAAGGGUGCGUAGGCGGAAUAGUAAGUCAGUGGUGAAAUCCUGCGGCUUAACCGUAGAACUGCCGUUGAUACUGCUAUUCUUGAGUACAGAUGAGGUAGGCGGAAUGUGUCAUGUAGCGGUGAUAUGCUUAGAUAUGACACAGAACACCGAUUGCGUAGGCAGCUUACCAAACUGUAACUGACGCUCAGGCACGAAAGCGUGGGGAGCAAACAGG